GUUCCCUGUGUUCACUUCACUUUGAAACAAGCCGCCCUGAGACUCGAUAAACACAGAAUUAAAGUAAUAAAAUAAAAUAAAAUAAAUGAAUGAAUGAAUACACACAACUUAUUUAACUGAAUCGCAACAUCGUACGAUUUGAUAAGCGCACAAAAUCGCGAUUUCGAUUUUAUUUUGAUUGAUGCUUUGCCAAAACAAUGGCGCAGAGAUCUUUUCUAUGGGUAUAACGUUAUGUUUAAGAAAAAUGAUGUGUUGUUCUUAUAGGCUACUUGACCAGCACAUUUUGCACCGCUGUACUUACGAUGUUCUCGGAAGUAGGUAGCCAACACAUCUGGAAAACUACUAGGCUGCAGGGUUUCUGAAAUCAACUCAAACUGCUUGGAUUUCUCGGAUCUGAUGUAACUCUUUUUCAUAGACAGAAUCCCACCAGGUCUUCAGGGGCUGACAGUUGAGCUGCAAGUAUGGCCCAGAUGUUGUUGCUAGCUUGCUACAGGUCCCAUCCAUGCUUUGCUCAUCCUCGGGUUGCAUUGCAUGCAGAUUUCUAACUCCUAACAAACAUGGAAAACAGAGAUACAUGGACCACUGCUAAAGUCCAGAAAUUGGACAGCAAAGAUUCUGGAAAGCACAGCUCACGGGUCUUGUCUGGAGGAGAGCCAGCUUCCAUCUGGAGCUUAUUGCAGCUGACGCCAUGCAGUGCAGUGCAGGAAAGUGCGAUUAUCGAUGUGAAUAUUAUUUUGUGUGUUCACUACGUAUGUGUGUAUUGCAGCCUAACUGUUCACAAAAGCAAGUUAGCUACCUCUUAUCCUAACAGCAGUGCUUAAAACGCCUUAACAAGCAGAUAAUACAUCUCCAAUGAACAAGCUUUAACUUAUGCCAUUCAAGCUGGGUCAUGGGAAAAGACAGAAUCCAGACCUCAUUCAUUAGAAAAAAAAAAAGAAAAAAAACUCUGUACCGAUGCAUAUGGCUGCAAACGCUGCCAUGGAAAAUGCAGCCUAAUGCACUACAGCAGUUUGACUGAUUCAUUGCAGAUGGCACGGGCAGUGCUCGAGCAGAAACAUGGCCAAAUGCCGGAUUCAAGUCAAUGCAUGAUUCUGGGAGAAUUUAAACAAUCACUCUAAGAGGCUUUCCACUGGCCUGUGUUUGCCAAAAGCUUCUCGUAAAAGAAGAGAGAGAGAGAGAAGAGAGAAAUGUGUGACCUUUAGGUGCAAUAAGAGGAGAACUAGAAGGGUUGCACUAUGUUUUGAUGUGUGAGGUUGUGUGUGUGGCGUGUGAAUAAAGGAAUAUUUCAGACUUUGAUGUGGUAAAUAGUCUCUUGCAAAGCCUGGAACUGAUAUCAGCUCCAGCUGAAGUCUAACCAGAGGAGAAGGGAGGUCAUUGUUUGGUGGCUGUUCAGUAUUUGAAUUUAGUUUAAAGCCUGUUUUUAUAGCUGUAUCUGUAGAUAGAUAGAUAGAUAGAUGUGAAUACAAACGGCCAAGUAACCUGUGGUUUUCUCCAGCUACAAGUUCUCAUCUGUGGUCACUUUUACAAAUUACAUGUCAGACUGAGUCAAAAUGUAUUAUAUUGAUUUCAGAGUCAAACAUCACCUAGAUAUAAGGUAGAAAUGUGAAGAGACAGCUGUAUUUGACAUAAGAGCAUUGGUUAAAGCUAAACCAUAUUCCUUCCGUUUCUGAUCUUUUUUCAGGAAGCCAGAAGCAAAUAUAGAAAGACACCACAAAGGGAAAAUCUGGAUCCGUUUGGGUUGAAUGAGAUUUAUUUGGAAAAGUAAUGAAAGUUCCCAAAAAUCCGCUUCCUCGGUUCUGUUGCCCUCAGAAAAUAUAUACUGCAAAAAAAAAAGCAUUUUCUCAAACACAUGAAUGAAUGGCUCUGGCUUUGGCAUAGUUGACACUGAAAAUAUCCUGUUCUUUUUGUGUAUCCUUUAAACAAGUUGUUUGCUUGGUCAAGCAGUGGAUAAUUUAUUUAUUUUUCUUAAUGUAAGAAUAAAACUUAAAGUUAUACAUAACUCAAGAUAUAUUUUCGAAAACAAGUCUUAUAAUCAUAGGCAAUUUAGGAAUAGCUAUUUGUUUUUCACUGGAAAACAUAUGUUGUACUGGAAAGCAUAUGUUGCCAUGUUUUUGUGAUUGGAAUGUACUUUCUUUCCCCUUUAAGUAUUAAAUAAUAUAUUUUGGCAUUUGAAUGUCAUUUUCAAUUUGAUAAAUAUAUUUCAUAACAUUUUAAAUAUAUUUUUGGCCUUUUAUAUAUUGGGUUGCUAAGGGUUUCAAAUCAAGCUGGGUAAUUUGAAGUGGUGAUAGUAGCACAAAUAGUAUGAGGCGAGUUAUGCAUUUAAAUUGGGGGUGGUGGAGUUGUUUAAAUCACUUUCCGUAAAUAUGAACAAUACUAUUAGUGGUCCACUUGCAUUAAGCAGCAAUGAAUAGCAAGUGUGCAUAUCUUUAUUUGCAUUGUUCAUUCUCUUUUCCCUUGUUUUCCAUUCUUGUCUUUCUCUGUAUUCUCGGUGGAAGUGCAUGCUAUUUCUAAACUAGGUUUAAUCAGGUAAGUGGCUCUGCAUGGGCUGCCACUUCAAAGAGCACCACAUUUCCAAACAACACAUCUAUACAGGUAGACAAGACCCACAUUAUCUAAUAGCCUCUGUGGACCUGCGCUGGAGGAGGCUGGGAGAGUGACAGUGGCUGGUAAUCUAAUCUAUGGGCACAGCAUCAUAGGCCACAGAGAACUGGGUGGAGUGAGAUGGAGCCUUCAGUGUGGGCGACUGCUCUGCGAGACACAGGAUGGGAGGUGCCAGAAGGUGUGAGAGACGGCGAGGAGGUCAAGGUCACGAGAGGAGGAUCGGAUCUCAGCACAGGAAAAUGUCCUGCCAAAGGAGAUAACAUCAUCGCUUGGAGAGUAGAAUUAUACACUGGGAAACCCCAUGGGUACAGUUUUCAUUUUUUGGUGUUGAUGUGUUCAUGAUAUUGAUGCAUGUUUACUUCAUAUAUCCGCCUGUUUGGUUGGAGUGCGCAGGAAUAGUGUCCUUAUGUGUGUUGUUUGUGAUUAAACCAAUGUAAUAUGCAUCUUAAAAUGAUUUGCAUUACACUGAGGAAUUACUAAAUGGUCCAUAAGGUGAACAUUAUGAAUUGUGUACCUUGUCAAAGACAUUUUUGCUUCUUAGCAAAAUGAGAAAUAUCAACACUGCAUGUUUUACCGCCCCAGACAAACUUUUGCCAGACUUUGCGCUAUAUAUCUAAACACUAGACAUGCCACAGCACAUUAAAGCCUAUUCAACAAAAACUUAACUGUUGCCAACUGUGAAAAAGCUCUUGUAUUCACACAUCACACAACUGACAAAAGUAUCCUGAGCUGUUCAGAGCUGGGUUACAGCCAGCUAUGUGCUCGUGCAGAAAAGAUUUUAAUUUUCGUCAUCCUCCCAGUUUUAAAAAUAUUCUGUCGGGGGAAAUGGUCUAAAAGCCUGCCCUGUCAUUUUCCUCAUGCUAAAACUGAAGCCAGCAGCCCACACCCUGCACGCUAAUGUGUGAUUUAUAAAAGCCUGACGUCUGAAGUGUGAGAUUACAGCGAAUCCUUAUGCGAUUCGGAAAAACUCCAGGAUGUGUUUCGUUUUAUUUCUUUCUCCUUUUUAACACAUACUAAAUAAAGCUAUUGAUGAGGACAUACCGUAAACAUCUAAUGUUUUACUGUAAAGUUCAUCAUAAACAUUGCACACUAACCCUAAACAAAAUCUUAACUUUACCCCUAAAAACUUUAUGCAUUUUAUUGGGGAACGUUUACACGACAAUGGGUUGAACCCAUGGGUUUUUGAUUUGCAUUUUUGAAAAGUUUCACGUAUAACGUCAAAACACAGAUCUGCGAACACGGCUUGAUCACAGUUCUUUCAUGAUUUAACAGGA